AUCCUUUUGUAGUACAUAGCCAUGAGGAUUGGUUCUUUACACUCACGUGUGAGAUGUGCUGUCUUCAAGCACUAUUACAAUAGUGGGACCUUACCCAUCUGACU